ensembl:lncRNA
CUUAAGCUGAGCUACAAUCUCCCUAGAAACAAGGAGAUUGGAGCUCGAUUCUACUCCUCCAGGUUGCAGGCAGAGACAAAUACACUGAGAGGCUUAACAUUCCAGAUUAAUUCUUCCCUCCAGUGGUUUGCAAAAGCUGUGAGUUUGAAAAGAAACAAAUUCAAGUGUUGAGAGUAAGAGUAGGGAAGUGGGAGGUGAUACCGUUUCAGACAAGGGUGGGGCUGGUGGACAUUUCUCAACAAAGCCCCAGUGGCACAGGCUGUAUUUGGGCUUUCCUGCUGCAUUGAGGGGUCAGCAAGAUUGCCUUGGCUGGGAACCAAACUCGUCCUGGUUUCCUGUCUUGGGAUAUCAAAGGGCUGGAAAGAGCUGCUAUUCCACGGGAGAGAAGAAAGCAGCCCCAGGAAGCCUGGCCCCGAGGACUGUGAGGUGUGGUGGGGCCUUGUUGUGCCCUGGACUGGACAAGAGGCACCCUGGGCUCUGGACACAGCCAGAUCUUCAGUCAGCUGCAUCUCCAGCCCAGGGCAGGCCCUUUAUCCUACAGCCCAGGGGUGCCUCUCUCCUCACCUAGGAAACAAAGCCAACAGGAUCUGCACCGGCUCCGCCUCCGGGAUACUGGAAGGACUAAAUAAGAUCAGGGACGUGCAAAGAGUUGCAAAAAUAACCAAAAGUUUAGAUUUGUUCAUCUGGCUCUGUACAAGUCACCUGAUUGCUGUUGCUCUGGAAAGCCUGCAGGACUGUGAGCACCACACCCUGUAAUCAAGGGCCCGAGGAGCAUGAGCUGGCCCCAUCUGAAGCAAGGACCCUCUGGAAAGCCUGCAGGACUGUGAGCACCACACCCUGUAAUCAAGGGCCCGAGGAGCAUGAACUGGCCCCAUCUGAAGCAAGGACCCUCUGGAAAGCCUGCAGGACCAUGAGUACCACACCCUGUAAUCAAGGGCCCGAGGAGCAUGAGCUGGCCCCAUCUGAAGCAAGGACCCUACCUAUUUGUCAUCCCAGCUCCCUGAGACCUGGACUUAGGGACCUCCAGCUAUCCCUGUUUUCUCAAGUGUAAAAUGGGCGUCCAAAUGAUCCACUUUGCAGGUUGCUGGGAUGAUGACACGAGGCAGCCCUGCAAAUCCCCCAGCACAAUGCGUGACAUCUCCCCCAAUCUCUUAACCAUGACUGCUGCCAUCAGUGAGGCUCCUACCCUCAAUGUGGCCUCGCCUGAGCCUUAGGGAAGGGUGGCUUUCAGGAACCUGCGGUUCCUUCUGAAGAGGUGGUUGAGUUUGGGUUCCCUGCAAGGUGGGUAUCUGAGUGAAGUAAUUUAUGUGGGUGCUGAUCCUGGAAGUGUGAAGGAAGGAGCAGGGCAAGGAGAUGGAAAUGAGUGUGCUGUCAAUAUCAUCACUGCAAACAAGGAGGGCAGGACCUCACCAGGUCCUCUGAGAAGGGUGCAGGAUGCCUUGCAGUGCCGCUUUGAAGGGUGGGACUGAGGCAUUUAUCCCCACACUCCGUCACCAUUAAUGGUUGCUCCUGGGAGUCUACAUCUCCUGUCCUUCUCAGGUGUCAGACUCAAGGGACAUCAGUAAAGGCCCUGGGGUAGGCAGUGAAAGGACACAGGCUUGUGGCAAGUGCUAGUUGCUGGAAGGGAGUUAAGUUCACAUGGACUAGCCCAUGAGGCUGCAGUGAAAUUCAGAGGCGGGCGCGGGAGGUGUGGCCCCCACCCUAGGGGCCUCUGCUCCAGGGAUUGAGACCAGAGAGUGAGGUAGUUGCCAUACUCAUAGCGGCUGUGUAUACGCAUGUUUUAACUUCUUUAUUUUAGUGCAUUUGCCUUAUUUUGGUUUACAAAAGUAAUAUAUGCUCAUGGUAAAAUUCAAAUAAUUCAUUAUGUUGACAAGUGAAAAGUAAAUAAAAGAUACCUUUCUUCUCUAAAUCUUUAUUUCCACUCUCCAGAAGUAACUUCAUUUUACAGUUUCCCAAACUUCUUUCUCAGUAUUCUAUCCACAUAUAAGCACAAAUGCCAUUUCUACCUUUAUUUUGUUUUACCCAAAAUGGAUUCCAACCAUACAUAACUGCUUUUUUUAAUUUUUUCACAAAAUAACAUCUCCCAGAGAUAGGUAGAUGUAAGUCUAGCCUGUUCUUCUUAACAGAUGAAUAAUAAUCAUUGCGUGGUUGUACCAUAAUGUACAAUUGCUUCCUAUUGGUGGACUUGUAGGCUGUUUCUAGGCCUUGCUAUCAUAAACAAUGCUGCAAGGACCAUGUGCGUACAUGUAUCUUUUGCA